rnacentral:piRNA from 1 species
GGGAAAAUUCUAUCCAGAUAGGA